UUUUAUAUUUUGGUUAACAGUUCUUUUUCAGCUAUGUUUUUUGCCAGUAUUUUCUCCUAGUCUGUAACUUCUUCUU